AAAGAACACUAAGGGAUACCAGGGAAGAUGAAAGGGUAUCAAGGAAUGUCAAGAAAUGUCAAACAAUAUCAAGGAACAUCACUAUCUCUUCACAACAAACCUUUAUCACACAUCUUUGCUUUCCAACUCAUACCAAUAAUCAAUAUCAAUGUCAUCUUAGAAUUUGAGAAAUUAAAGAUCUCAUUUAUCAAAACUUUCGUAGAAAAGAUAUCAUGAUAAUAUCUCACUGAUGAGAAAAC
rnacentral:lncRNA from 1 species